rnacentral:rRNA from 1 species
AACGAACGCUGGCGGCAUGCCUAACACAUGCAAGUCGAGCGAGACCUUCGGGUCUAGCGGCGGACGGGUGAGUAACGCGUGGGAACGUGCCCUUUUCUACGGAAUAACCUCGGGAAACUGAUCCUAAUACCGUAUACGCCCUUUGGGGGAAAGAUUUAUCGGAGAAGGAUCGGCCCGCGUUGGAUUAGGUAGUUGGUAGGGUAAUGGCCUACCAAGCCUACGAUCCAUAGCUGGUUUGAGAGGAUGAUCAGCCACACUGGGACUGAGACACGGCCCAGACUCCUACGGGAGGCAGCAGUGGGGAAUCUUAGACAAUGGGGGCAAGCCUGAUCCAGCCAUGCCGCGUGAGUGAUGAAGGCCUUAGGGUUGUAAAGCUCUUUUAGCUGGGAAGAUAAUGACGGUACCAGGAGAAGAAGCCCCGGCUAACUCCGUG